GCCUGGUUAGCUCAGAUGGUAGAGUGGCUGCCCUAGAAAGGCAGUGGUCCCGGGUUCGAGUCCCGGACCAUGACG
rnacentral:tRNA from 1 species